UAACACGUAGGGUGCGAGCGUUGUCCGGAAUUAUUGGGCGUAAAGAGCUCGUAGGCGGUGUGUCGCGUCGGCCGUGAAAACCUGCAGCUUAACUGUGGGCUUGCGGUCGAUACGGGCAUCACUGGAGUUCGGCAGGGGAGACUGGAAUUCCUGGUGUAGCGGUGAAAUGCGCAGAUAUCAGGAGGAACACCGGUGGCGAAGGCGGGUCUCUGGGCCGAUACUGACGCUGAGGAGCGAAAGCGUGGGGA
rnacentral:rRNA from 1 species